AUUGAGGGCAUUUCAAUAAAGAACUGCGAAUCUCGUCAGGUUCGAAAGAAAGCAGCGAUAAGUAGUUGCCUUUAUGUGAAUAAGUGCCUUCAAUGAA
rnacentral:SRP_RNA from 1 species